rnacentral:rRNA from 1 species
GUGCCAGCCGCCGCGGCAAUACGGAGGGUCCGAGCGUUAUCCGGAAUCAUUGGGUUUAAAGGGUCCGCAGGCGGUCAAUUAAGUCAGAGGUGAAAUCCCAUAGCUUAACUAUGGAACUGCCUUUGAUACUGGUUGACUUGAGUCAUAUGGAAGUAGAUAGAAUGUGUAGUGUAGCGGUGAAAUGCAUAGAUAUUACACAGAAUACCGAUUGCGAAGGCAGUCUACUACGUAUGUACUGACGCUGAGGGACGAAAGCGUGGGGAGCGAACAGGAUUAGAUACCCUGGUAGUCCACGCCGUAAACGAUGGAUACUAGUUGUUGGGCAUUAGCUCAGUGACUAAGCGAAAGUGAUAAGUAUCCCACCUGGGGAGUACGGUCGCAAGACUGAAACUCAAAGGAAUUGACGGGGGCCCGCACAAGCGGUGGAGCAUGUGGUUUAAUUCGAUGAUACGCGAGGAACCUUACCAGGGCUUAAAUGUAGUCUGACAGCUUUAGAGAUAGAGUUUUCUUCGGACAGAUUACAAGGUGCUGCAUGGUUGUCGUCAGCUCGUGCCGUGAGGUGUCAGGUUAAGUCCUAUAACGAGCGCAACCCCUGUCAUUAGUUGCCAGCAUGUAAAGAUGGGGACUCUAAUGAGACUGCCGGUGCAAACCGCGAGGAAGGUGGGGAUGACGUCAAAUCAUCACGGCCCUUACGUCCUGGGCCACACACGUGCUACAAUGGUAUGGACA